CAGAAACCACUCGCCUAAUUAAAUGGUAGUACGAUUGGGAGGAGAACUGACUGUUGGGUGAAUUCUGAUUGAAAUGGAAACGAAAAUAGAAAUUUUGGUAAUUUAUUUAACGGCACAUGUAGCAACAUUGGAAAUCAAACGAUAUUUUUGGCCAACUAAAAGGCAUUUAAUGAGAUUAUUUAAUGGCAGCAAAAGGGUAAUAGGUG
rnacentral:lncRNA from 1 species